UAAAUAAUCCCUCCGUCCAGAAAUACUUGUCAUAGGAAUGGAUGUAUCUAGAUGUAUUUUAGUUCGAGAUACAUCCAUUUCUAUCCAUUUUUGUGACAAGUAAUUCCGGACAGAGGGAGUAGGUA
rnacentral:pre_miRNA from 1 species